GCCAAGCUCAUUGGGAGAGCAUCUGCUUUGCAUGCAAAAGGUUCCAUGUUCGAUCCCUGGCAUCUACA